GACGAACGCUGAUGGCGUGCUUAACACAUGCAAGUCGAACGGAAAGGCCCUGCUUUUGUGGGGUGCUCGAGUGGCGAACGGGUGAGUAACACGUGAGUAACCUGCCCUUGACUUUGGGAUAACUUCAGGAAACUGGGGCUAAUACCGGAUAGGAGCUCCUGCUGCAUGGUGGGGGUUGGAAAGUUUCGGCGGUUGGGGAUGGACUCGCGGCUUAUCAGCUUGUUGGUGGGGUAGUGGCUUACCAAGGCUUUGACGGGUAGCCGGCCUGAGAGGGUGACCGGCCACAUUGGGACUGAGAUACGGCCCAGACUCCUACGGGAGGCAGCAGUGGGGAAUAUUGCACAAUGGGCGGAAGCCUGAUGCAGCAACGCCGCGUGCGGGAUGACGGCCUUCGGGUUGUAAACCGCUUUCGCCUGUGACGAAGCGUGAGUGACGGUAAUGGGUAAAGAAGCACCGGCUAACUACGUG
rnacentral:rRNA from 1 species